rnacentral:lncRNA from 1 species
GCCGGACCAGUGCACACUGUGAACAUUCACUGAAACACACCCUGUUGGCACUUAAGAAGCAUUUGCCCCUUUCGAAGACAUUUGGACUCAAGAAGGCAGAGUUGCAGAAAACGUAACAGGCCACACUGCAGGGGCAGGCAGUGGAUUGCAAGUCUCAAGCCCAGGGUUCUCCCCUCCUUGCCUGGGUUGUGGGAAAAAGUCAUUUCCUAACUCCUAUCCAAUAUCCUCAUGAGUUCUCGGUUUUGUCCCAACUCUAAAACUGAAUGGUCCAGCGAGCAUUUCUAUGAAAUGCCUCCACAGUGGCCACUGGGAGGGGAGUGUCCUCCACACAGUGACUGCCUGUCUGGAUGCUCCCAGGCCUUUUGUCCUCCGAGACAGAGCUGCCUCCUUACAUGCAGCCCUCUUCUGCUGUGCAACUCUACCUCGAUCUUAGCUGAGAAGAUCAACGGAGAGCAAUUCAAGCAAAAUCAUGGUAAACUUACCAAAACCAAACCAAACAAACAGUAAAUGCUUUGGAGAUCUUUCUGAGGACGCGAUCUUUUAUCACGGGGCAAAAACUUAAAUGAUUUUCAAUCAGUAACUUCAUCUAAGAGGGAUGUUGAGGCAAAAU